AGCGUACACGGUGGAUGCCCUGGCAGUCAGAGGCGAUGAAGGACGUGCUAAUCUGCGAAAAGCGUCGGUAAGGUGAUAUGAACCGUUAUAGCCGGCGAUGUCCGAAUGGGGAAACCCAGUGCAAUUCGUUGCACUAUCGUUAACUGAAUACAUAGGUUAACGAGGCGAACCGGGGGAACUGAAACAUCUAAGUACCCCGAGGAAAAGAAAUCAACCGAGAUUCCCCCAGUAGCGGCGAGCGAACGGGGAGCAGCCCAGAGUCUGAAUCAGCUUGUGUGUUAGUGGAACGGUCUGGAAAGUCCGACGGUACAGGGUGAUAGUCCCGUACACCAAAAUGCACAGGUUGUGAACUCGAAGAGUAGGGCGGGACACGUGGUAUCCUGUCUGAAUAUGGGGGGACCAUCCUCCAAGGCUAAAUACUCCUGACUGACCGAUAGUGAACCAGUACCGUGAGGGAAAGGCGAAAAGAACCCCGGCGAGGGGAGUGAAAAAGAACCUGAAACCGUGUACGUACAAGCAGUGGGAGCACCUUCGGGUGUGACUGCGUACCUUUUGUAUAAUGGGUCAGCGACUUAUAUUCUGUAGCAAGGUUAACCGUAUAGGGGAGCCGCAGGGAAACCGAGUCUUAACUGGGCGUUAAGUUGCAGGGUAUAGACCCGAAACCCGGUGAUCUAGCCAUGGGCAGGUUGAAGGUUGGGUAACACUAACUGGAGGACCGAACCGACUAAUGUUGAAAAAUUAGCGGAUGACUUGUGGCUGGGGGUGAAAGGCCAAUCAAACCGGGAGAUAGCUGGUUCUCCCCGAAAGCUAUUUAGGUAGCGCCUCGUGAACUCAUCUUCGGGGGUAGAGCACUGUUUCGGCUAGGGGGUCAUCCCGACUUACCAACCCGAUGCAAACUACGAAUACCGAAGAAUGUUAUCACGGGAGACACACGGCGGGUGCUAACGUCCGUCGUGAAGAGGGAAACAACCCAGACCGCCAGCUAAGGUCCCAAAGUCACAGUUAAGUGGGAAACGAUGUGGGAAGGCACAGACAGCCAGGAUGUUGGCUUAGAAGCAGCCAUCAUUUAAAGAAAGCGUAAUAGCUCACUGGUCGAGUCGGCCUGCGCGGAAGAUGUAACGGGGCUAAACUGUGCACCGAAGCUGCGGCAGCGACACUUAGGUGUUGUUGGGUAGGGGAGCGUUCUGUAAGCCUGCGAAGGUGGCCUGUGAGGGUUGCUGGAGGUAUCAGAAGUGCGAAUGCUGACAUAAGUAACGAUAAUGCGGGUGAAAAGCCCGCACGCCGGAAGACCAAGGGUUCCUGUCCAACGUUAAUCGGGGCAGGGUGAGUCGACCCCUAAGGCGAGGCCGAAAGGCGUAGUCGAUGGGAAACAGGUUAAUAUUCCUGUACUUGGUGUUACUGCGAAGGGGGGACGGAGAAGGCUAUGUUAGCCGGGCGACGGUUGUCCCGGUUUAAGCAUGUAGGCGGAGGUUCCAGGUAAAUCCGGUACCUUUUUAACGCUGAGGUGUGAUGACGAGGCACUACGGUGCUGAAGUAACAAAUGCCCUGCUUCCAGGAAAAGCCUCUAAGCAUCAGGUAACAUCAAAUCGUACCCCAAACCGACACAGGUGGUCAGGUAGAGAAUACCAAGGCGCUUGAGAGAACUCGGGUGAAGGAACUAGGCAAAAUGGUGCCGUAACUUCGGGAGAAGGCACGCUGAUAUGUAGGUGAAGCCCCUGCGGGUGGAGCUGAAAUCAGUCGAAGAUACCAGCUGGCUGCAACUGUUUAUUAAAAACACAGCACUGUGCAAACACGAAAGUGGACGUAUACGGUGUGACGCCUGCCCGGUGCCGGAAGGUUAAUUGAUGGGGUUAUCCGUAAGGAGAAGCUCUUGAUCGAAGCCCCGGUAAACGGCGGCCGUAACUAUAACGGUCCUAAGGUAGCGAAAUUCCUUGUCGGGUAAGUUCCGACCUGCACGAAUGGCGUAAUGAUGGCCAGGCUGUCUCCACCCGAGACUCAGUGAAAUUGAACUCGCUGUGAAGAUGCAGUGUACCCGCGGCAAGACGGAAAGACCCCGUGAACCUUUACUAUAGCUUGACACUGAACAUUGAGCCUUGAUGUGUAGGAUAGGUGGGAGGCUUUGAAGCGUGGACGCCAGUCUGCGUGGAGCCAACCUUGAAAUACCACCCUUUAAUGUUUGAUGUUCUAACGUGGACCCGUAAUCCGGGUUGCGGACAGUGUCUGGUGGGUAGUUUGACUGGGGCGGUCUCCUCCCAAAGAGUAACGGAGGAGCACGAAGGUUAGCUAAUCCUGGUCGGACAUCAGGAGGUUAGUGCAAUGGCAUAAGCUAGCUUGACUGCGAGCGUGACGGCGCGAGCAGGUGCGAAAGCAGGUCAUAGUGAUCCGGUGGUUCUGAAUGGAAGGGCCAUCGCUCAACGGAUAAAAGGUACUCCGGGGAUAACAGGCUGAUACCGCCCAAGAGUUCAUAUCGACGGCGGUGUUUGGCACCUCGAUGUCGGCUCAUCACAUCCUGGGGCUGAAGUAGGUCCCAAGGGUAUGGCUGUUCGCCAUUUAAAGUGGUACGCGAGCUGGGUUUAGAACGUCGUGAGACAGUUCGGUCCCUAUCUGCCGUGGGCGCUGGAGAAUUGAGGGGGGCUGCUCCUAGUACGAGAGGACCGGAGUGGACGCAUCACUGGUGUUCGGGUUGUCAUGCCAAUGGCAUUGCCCGGUAGCUAAAUGCGGAAGAGAUAAGUGCUGAAAGCAUCUAAGCACGAAACUUGCCCCGAGAUGAGUUCU
rnacentral:rRNA from 1 species